ensembl:miRNA
CUGUUCACGCUCACAGAAACUGUGAUCAAUCUGCUUAAUUAUGACAAGCAAGUGCUUCCUGUUGUUGUGAAUGUGAAUCAGACCC